CCUACGGGAGGCAGCAGUGAGGAAUAUUGGACAAUGGGCGCGAGCCUGAACCAGCCAAGUCGCGUGAGGGAAGACGGCCCUACGGGUUGUAAACCUCUUUUGCCGGGGAGCAACGGGCGCCACGUGUGGCGCCACUGAUAGUACCCGUAGAAAAAGCAUCGGCUAACUCCUUGCCAGCAGCCGCGGUAAUACGGAGGAUGCGGGCGUUAUCCGGUUUUAUUGGGUUUAAAGGGUGCGGAGGCGGAGCGGUAAGUCAGUGGUAAAAUUGAGGGGCUCAACCCCUUCCCGCCAUUGAAACUGGCGCUCUUGAGUGGAAGAGAAGGAGGCGGAAUGCGUGGUGUAGCGGUGAAAUGCAUAGAUAUCACGAAGAACCCCGAUUGCGAAGGCAGCAUGCCGGAUUCCGACUGACGCUGAAGCACGAAAGCGUGGGGAUCGAACAGGAUUAGAUACCCGAGUAGUC
rnacentral:rRNA from 1 species